GUCUACGGCCAUGCCGCCCUGAACAAGCUUGAACCCGUCUGAUCUCAGAAGCUAAGCAGGGUUGGGCCUGAUUAGUACUUGGAUAGGAGACCACCUAGGAAUACCAGGUGCUGUAGGUG
rnacentral:rRNA from 1 species